GAAUGAUGCGGAUGGAGAAACCAAGCUCAAAAUAGCUGGAAAUAGUGUCAGAUUGGAAAGUAUUGAGCAGUAGUUUUCUGAUC